rnacentral:lncRNA from 1 species
AAGAAAAAAAGAAAAAAGAAAGAGGAGGGUGCAAAAUCAAAAGAAAUCAAAAGAAAGCAAAAUCAAAAGCAAAAUCAAAAAAAAAAAAACAAAAGAAAGAUAGCACCCUCAAAGUCCCAAGUUGACUAAUGCUGAAUUCGACGGAAAAGAACGAAAAGAUCAACUGCCAUGUGUCAUGGUCAAGUUAUAUCAGCAGAGAGUGAUGAAAGCAUUCGACAAGAAGGUCAAGCCUCGUGUGUUCCGAGGGACCUUGUGCUCAAGAAAGUCUUGUCUUUCGUGCCCGAUUCCAGGGGCAAGUGAACCCCCCAAGCUAUGAACGUCCGUACGUUGUCAAGAGAGCCUUUUC